rnacentral:rRNA from 1 species
CCUACGGGUGGCAGCAGUGAGGAAUAUUGGUCAAUGGUCGGGAGACUGAACCAGCCAAGCCGCGUGAGGGAGGAAGGUACAGAGUAUCGUAAACCUCUUUUGUCAGGGAACAAAGACUGGGACGCGUCCCCGGAUGAGUGUACCUGAAGAAAAAGCAUCGGCUAACUCCGUGCCAGCAGCCGCGGUAAUACGGAGGAUGCGAGCGUUAUCCGGAUUUAUUGGGUUUAAAGGGUGCGGAGGGGGUCUGCUAAGUCAGCGGUCAAAGCCCGGGGCUCAACCCCAGGACGGCGUUUGAGACUGGCAGUCUCGAGUUGGAGAGAAGUAUGCGGAAUGCGCGGUGUAGCGGUGAAAUGCAUAGAUAUCGCGCAGAACUCCGAUUGCGAAGGCAGCAUGCCGGCUCCACACUGACGCUGAGGCACGAAAGCGUGGGUAUCGAACAGGAUUAGAUACCCUGGUAGUC